rnacentral:lncRNA from 1 species
CCCUCUCUCUCACUCUUUGUCUCCUGCAUCUUCUCUUCCUCUAUCUCUCUCACACACACUCUCUCCCCCUCUAUCUCUCUCAUGCUUUUCUCUCUCCCUAGCACUCUCUCUUGCCUGUUUAUUCCUCUCAUGCCCUCCCUAGCUCUUUCCAUUCCUACAGUGUAUGUGUGUCUGUGUAUUUAUGUGGGUUGGAAAAUAGAAAGUGAAUAGAGGCCUCUGCCUCUUACUCCCUCUUUCCAUCUCCAUGUUUGUAUG